rnacentral:lncRNA from 1 species
CUCUCUUUUGUUCUUGGGAGUCAGUUCAAACCUUAAUCGAGACUGUUACAGAAAGCCACGGCCAGUAAGAAAGAAGAGUACAAAUGACUGUGGAAUAUCCAGCCACAGCUUGGAUACCUACAAGCAAUCAAUACACCUAGAGCUCAGGGAACAUCACAGAAGAGGAUGUAGAAAGUCUGUAAGACCCAGAGGACCAGGACAGGACAUCUACUGAGAGAUAAUGUCCUAUGUGCAACAUGAAGGCUGCAUCCAGGAAAUCUCAACAAUAUGGCCAUACCUAACAAGGUUGAAAAAAAUGAUGAUACCAAUCUGCAUGUACCAUACAACAAGAAAACACGUGACUCUCUGUUGCAAAUCCCACACAGUCAACACAGUGUGCUUAUUGAUUUUGCCUAGUCAUAUAGUUACAAACAGGCAAAACAGUACAGUUCUGACC